ACUUCCGCAACCCUAAAAAAAUGCCUAAUUUAUUUCACACUCCUCUCUCUCUCUGCAGGAAACCAUAAUCUCUUCAAAUUGAAAUUCUCACUCUACAGGACAUAGAGGCUAAUUUAUCGAAAAUUAUAGUAGACGGUUUUGGAAUUCUGUCGAUAUGGAGGUUGUUAGGUCAUUUUAAGUCCCUCGUAGGGAACAAGGCACAACCAGAAGGUUCCAUAGCUAAAGGUUACAUUGUUGAAGAAGCUCUAACUUUUUGUUCUCGUUACUUUGAGAGGAUUGAGUCAAGGCUGAAUAGGCCUAGACGUGUAAAUGAUGAACCAAAUCUUAAUGAGGCUUCUGAAAUGUCCUCUAUCUUCCCUCUACAAGGUAAACCAGUUGGAAGCUCCUCAACAUUCCCCUUGACUCCAUUGGUGAAGACGCAAGCUCAUCGAUAUGUGUUAUUUAAUUGUGUAGCAGUGAAUCCAUUUAUUGAGUAAGUAAAUAAAAUUGAUAUGAAUAACGGUAAAAGUUUAGAUUAAAUUAAUUAAAAUUGAUAUAGUUAGCUCCUUUGAAGUGAGUUUAGGGAUCACAUAAAAAAGAGCACAAGAGGACGGAGACCUUCAGCAUCAGAUUUAGAGAGGAAGGUUAAUAAAGAGUUUCCUUAUUGGUUCCCAAAGCGGGUGAGUGAAUGGUAUAAUAAUAUUUGCUUUACGUAGCUAUUCUCCUUGGAUUUAAUAUGCUUGACUAAAAUAAGUUUGUUAUUAUUAGAUUAUGAACCCAAAAAUUGCAGACACCAUCUCUACUGAUAUAAAGUUUCUAGCACGAGGUCCAAUGCCAGAUGCUAGAAGGUUCACUGCUAUAACAUUAAUGGAUUCAAAUUUUGAGUUUUGUCUAGAGAUCAAGGAUUAAAAACUCAAAAUAGUGGAGUUUUUCUUACCUCUGACACCUCUUGUGUUGCAUCUAGUGCUGAUAGAAGUGCAAGGCAAGCAGACUUGUCGUACUAUGGGAAGUUAGAAGAUAUUAUUGAGCUUAAUUAUUUUCUAUUAACGGUUGUGCUCUUCAAAUACCAGUGGGCUGACACUACUCGUGAAAGAGGGUUCAGAAAGAUGCUUGGAAUUUUAACUUUGUUAAUUUUUCUAAACUGAAUCAUAUUGGUGAUCGUGAGGAUGAUGAUCCUUACAUUGUAGCAUCUCAAGCAAAUAUGAUUUACUAUAUUGAUAAUGAAACUGAUAAAGAAUGGAGUGUGGCUGUACAUCUAAAGCUGAGAGAUUUAUAUGAUAUGGGAGAGGUUGAUGAAAAUGAAAUAUAUGAGAAUCAACCAUACCAACAACAAGAACUUGAACAAUUUUUUGAUGUUGCUUAUGAGA